rnacentral:rRNA from 1 species
UACAGAGGUCCCAAGCGUUGUUCGGAUUCACUGGGCGUAAAGGGUGCGUAGGCGGUCGGGUAAGUCUGAUGUGAAAUCUCACAGCUUAACUGUGAAACUGCAUUGGAUACUAUCCGGCUCGAGGAAUGGAGGGGAGACUGGAAUACUUGGUGUAGCAGUGAAAUGCGUAGAUAUCAAGUGGAACACCAGUGGCGAAGGCGGCCUUCUGGACAGUGACUGACGCUGAGACGCGAAAGCGUGGGGAGCAAACAGG